AGCGCGCGCGGGGGACGUUCCCUGACGUGUCCGUAACGUACGCUUUAUCAAGCGUCUUCCCGCGCGGUAGCUUCCCCUUUUCUGUACUCCUCGGCGUUAGCUGUUUCGGCUGUUCUGUUUUUUAUUUUCCAGGACCCAAAUUCACUGCCAUGUCCUCUGAAGAAGGGAAGCUCUUCGUGGGAGGGCUCAAUUUCAACACCGAUGAGCAGGCGUUGGAAGACCACUUCAGCAGUUUCGGUCCUAUCUCUGAGGUGGUUGUCGUCAAGGACCGGGAGACUCAGCGAUCCCGGGGUUUUGGCUUUAUCACCUUUACCAAUCCAGAGCAUGCCUCAGAUGCCAUGCGAGCCAUGAAUGGAGAGUCCCUGGAUGGCCGUCAGAUCCGGGUGGAUCACGCAGGCAAGUCAGCCCGGGGAACCAGAGGAGGUGCCUUUGGUGCCCAUGGGCGUGGCCGCAGCUACUCCAGAGGUGGUGGGGACCAGGGCUAUGGGAGCAGCAGAUAUGACAGUCGACCUGGAGGAUAUGGAUAUGGAAGGUCCAGAGACUAUAGUGGCAGGCUGCUCAGCAUUUCCACUGCCCUCACAUAUCUCACCCAGCCAGCCCACCUAACCGCAUUCCUAGGCCUCCAGCCUCCCUUGCUCUCUGAAGUGCAUGUCAGUCUGGCGGGGAUGGGGGCGGGUCUGAAAAUGAUGUAGUCUUCCUGGGCAUGGAGGAGGUGAAGGGAGGUCCCUGCUAUCCAGCCUUCAGCAUCCUUAUCAACCCUGGGAGAAAAUACCGACUUCUGAAUGUCAGCUCCAUGAUUGCAGGGACCAUUUCGUCUGAGUUAUUGCUGGUUCCUGGCACAUAAAAAUCAAAAUAACCAAACCUGUUGCUGUCUAAUCAAUUCUGACUCAGCAGCCCUAUAGGACAGAGUAGAACUGCUCUGUAGGGUUUCCAAAGAGCACCUGGUGGAUUCAAACUGCCAACCUUUUGGUUAGCAGCUGAACUCCUAACCACUAUGCCACCAGGGUUUUCUGGCACAUAGUAGACCAUAAAAAAAACAAACCUAAAGGCUAAAUAUUUGUUGGGAGGCUGGCUGGCCAUUUCAGCUUGCUGGGGACUGCUGAAGGGGUCUGUUGAGGCAGGUAUCAUUUCUGUCUGUGUUAGAAAUGAAAAAAGGGACACAGCUAGUGUAGCCCAGUGCUCUCCGUUACAUUUCUAAACUCAAGGCCAAACAGGCAGGGGUGCGUGAAGGGGCCAGAAAAAACAUGGUCCUUCCAGUUUCCCCACCAUUUGAGUCAUUCUUAAAAUGAGGUGUUACCUUCAAACAGCUCUGGCUUACCUGUCUUUUCUGUCCUAAACUUUUUGUUCAUUUAACUGGACCUUCAGCCCUCACUUUGACGGUAAAAUAACCCUGGAUCAUGUUGGAAUUAAUGGGACUUGUGGUCCUCCAUGGGUUUGAGUUUUUUUCUAGAUGUCAUGAUUGUAACCAAGGUUACUCACAACCUCCAGGAGCUGCUUCCCCCAGGCUUGAGACACUCCACUCCCCUCACCCAUUUACCUAUUGAUGCAGGUAAACUCUGUCCACACUCCCAAGAAACUGAAAGUGCCUUCAUCAGCUUGUUCAAAACCCAUUUCAAUCCAAUGAAACCGUGUCAAUGUGGGGAAAAAAAUGCAAGAGGUGACAAUGGCCAUUCUAGUUCACACAGAAUGUGACUACCUCUGGCAGGUGGAUCUGUUAUUGGGGAAAGUUUUUAAGACAAUAAUGGUUAAUACCUGGUGGAUAUUUUCUGUGUUCCAGAUGCUUAACCUUAAGCUUUACAAGUAUUUAGUCCGUAACUGUUAUGUGCCAGCUUUCUUCAGAUGAAGAGACUGAAUCACAGAGGUAUUACAUGACUUGCCCAAGACCACAUAGUUGGCAGAGCCUAUGCCAGUGGCCAAGUUAUGCUGCCUUUUGAAACAUAAUUGUACUGCCUCAGAAAAAAAUAGCAAACUGUUCGUUGAGGCUUUUUUACGUGGCAGGUAGGAAACAAUUCAUGCAACAGCCCUGUCAUUAGGUGGUUCUGUCUAGUAUCUCAUAGCCUUAUAGGAAUGAGGUUUUAAAAAUAACGUUUUGAAAUUUUAAUAUAUGAAUAUUUUAAUUUAAAAAGCCAGCAGUGAUACAGUAAAUCUUCCUGGCAUCCCUAACUCAUGAUUUCCUCCGACCACGUUUCUUUGGAAGAAUGGUGGGAUGAAGGGGCAAGAAUAUUGGAGGUGAAUGGGAAAGGCAUCACAACAUCCUUUAUGAUGACAGAAGAACCUGGAAAUAAACCCAGUGCUUGCCACAAAUAAGGUAUUGGUUCAAUAAAAUGUGGCCAUUGAACUCCCUGGGCUUCAGCUGUCCUCAUCAAUAAAAUGGAGAUGAUAAUAUAACCCACAACAUUCAGUUAUUAGGGUUGAAUGAAUUAGUAUGUAAAUCAACUUGGACAGUCCCAGCACACUGUACAUACUGAGUAAAUGUUAGUGGUUCUUGUUAAGGUUAGAGAUUUUUGCAGUGAAAUACAAUUUAUUCUUUAGCGAUUAUGUUACAGAAAGAUAAUAUGAAAAGACCUCAAAAGCUUAGUUACAUGAACAGGGGAGGUACUAAAUCAACACAAAAACUGGUCUGUUUUUAUGACACAGAGGGUAAUACAUUUUUGGAUGUGUCCCUAGUUUUAAGUGGCUUUAAAACAUUUGGAAACCCUGGUGGUGUAGUGGUUAAGUGCUACAGCUGCUAACCAAGAGGUCAGCAGUUCAAAUCCACCAGGCGCUCCUUGGAAACUCUAUGGGGCAGUUCUACUCUGUCCUGUAGGGUCUCUAUGAGUCGGAAUUGACUUGACAGCAGUGGGUUUGAUUUGGUUUUAAAACAUUCAGGUGAUUGUAUCAUUUAAAAAUGUGAAGAAUAACUUUUCAAAAUUGUGGCAGUUGUUAAGAUCCAAUAGGCAGUUACUAAACCUUGUAUUUAAAACUUGUAAAUUCUGUUUAUCCUGAUUGAGAUGAACAAUUUCAGAUGCAUUUUCCUGUUGGAGUUGAAAUAAAAAUGAUUAUGAUAGCCUCCACGUGGAUCCAAAUCUAAAAGUUUGUUUUGUCUAAUUGUCUUCUUGCCUUUGGAGACUCAAGCCCCAACCAACCCUCCUGGGAGCAUCCAAGUCCCCCAACCCCAGUCACACACAGAAUGGACUCAUCCCACU